rnacentral:lncRNA from 1 species
UAGCAUGUACUAAUUGCAAGAAUAUGGAUCAUGCACCUGGUGAAUGCAAAAAGAAUAAGGAAGCUCCAGAACUAGAACAAGAGAGGCAAAGACAAGAGGUUUCUAGAAGGAGAAGGUUCAUACCUGUGUAACUACCGAGAAAUACUAAGAUAGAUAACCAAGUGUAAAGAAAUCAAACUGAUAAUAGUGAGAGUACUCAGACACUACCAAAGGG